AUUUAGCCCUGAUAGAAGUGGAAAUCAUUUUUCUCUAAAACUUAUUUUUUCCUGGUUGGGCAGAGCGACCGGAGGAAGCUCCUGAACAGACUUUGGAAAAAAAGUUGUAGAAAAAAAUAUUGAAACCAAUAGCAGCCCCGAUA
rnacentral:sRNA from 1 species